rnacentral:rRNA from 1 species
AGUGAACGCUGGCGGUAGGCCUAACACAUGCAAGUCGAACGGCAGCACAGUAAGAGCUUGCUCUUACGGGUGGCGAGUGGCGGACGGGUGAGGAAUACAUCGGAAUCUACUUUUUCGUGGGGGAUAACGUAGGGAAACUUACGCUAAUACCGCAUACGACCUACGGCAGAAAGCAGGGGAUCUUCGGACCUUGCGCGAUUGAAUGAGCCGAUGUCGGAUUAGCUAGUUGGCGGGGUAAAGGCCCACCAAGGCGACGAUCCGUAGCUGGUCUGAGAGGAUGAUCAGCCACACUGGAACUGAGACACGGUCCAGACUCCUACGGGAGGCAGCAGUAGGGAAUCUUCGGCAAUGGGCGCAAGCCUGAUCCAGCCAUACCGCGUGGGUGAAGAAGGCCUUCGGGUUGUAAAGCCCUUUUGUUAGGAAAGAAAAGCAGCAGGUUAAUACCCCGCUGUUCUGACGGUACCCAAAGAAUAAGCACCGGCUAACUUCGUG